rnacentral:rRNA from 1 species
GGGUUGUGAGGUUAAGCGACUAAGCGUACACGGUGGAUGCCCUGGCAGUCAGAGGCGAUGAAGGACGUGCUAAUCUGCGAAAAGCGUCGGUAAGGUGAUAUGAACCGUUAUAGCCGGCGAUGUCCGAAUGGGGAAACCCAGUGCAAUUCGUUGCACUAUCGUUAACUGAAUACAUAGGUUAACGAGGCGAACCGGGGGAACUGAAACAUCUAAGUACCCCGAGGAAAAGAAAUCAACCGAGAUUCCCCCAGUAGCGGCGAGCGAACGGGGAGCAGCCCAGAGUCUGAAUCAGCUUGUGUGUUAGUGGAACGGUCUGGAAAGUCCGACGGUACAGGGUGAUAGUCCCGUACACCAAAAUGCACAGGUUGUGAACUCGAAGAGUAGGGCGGGACACGUGGUAUCCUGUCUGAAUAUGGGGGGACCAUCCUCCAAGGCUAAAUACUCCUGACUGACCGAUAGUGAACCAGUACCGUGAGGGAAAGGCGAAAAGAACCCCGGCGAGGGGAGUGAAAAAGAACCUGAAACCGUGUACGUACAAGCAGUGGGAGCACCUUCGGGUGUGACUGCGUACCUUUUGUAUAAUGGGUCAGCGACUUAUAUUCUGUAGCAAGGUUAACCGUAUAGGGGAGCCGCAGGGAAACCGAGUCUUAACUGGGCGUUAAGUUGCAGGGUAUAGACCCGAAACCCGGUGAUCUAGCCAUGGGCAGGUUGAAGGUUGGGUAACACUAACUGGAGGACCGAACCGACUAAUGUUGAAAAAUUAGCGGAUGACUUGUGGCUGGGGGUGAAAGGCCAAUCAAACCGGGAGAUAGCUGGUUCUCCCCGAAAGCUAUUUAGGUAGCGCCUCGUGAAUUCAUCUUCGGGGUAGAGCACUGUUUCGGCUAGGGGGUCAUCCCGACUUACCAACCCGAUGCAAACUACGAAUACCGAAGAAUGUUAUCACGGGAGACACACGGCGGGUGCUAACGUCCGUCGUGAAGAGGGAAACAACCCAGACCGCCAGCUAAGGUCCCAAAGUCAUGGUUAAGUGGGAAACGAUGUGGGAAGGCACAGACAGCCAGGAUGUUGGCUUAGAAGCAGCCAUCAUUUAAAGAAAGCGUAAUAGCUCACUGGUCGAGUCGGCCUGCGCGGAAGAUGUAACGGGGCUAAACCAUGCACCGAAGCUGCGGCAGCGACACUAUGUGUUGUUGGGUAGGGGAGCGUUCUGUAAGCCUGCGAAGGUGUGCUGUGAGGCAUGCUGGAGGUAUCAGAAGUGCGAAUGCUGACAUAAGUAACGAUAAAGCGGGUGAAAAGCCCGCUCGCCGGAAGACCAAGGGUUCCUGUCCAACGUUAAUCGGGGCAGGGUGAGUCGACCCCUAAGGCGAGGCCGAAAGGCGUAGUCGAUGGGAAACAGGUUAAUAUUCCUGUACUUGGUGUUACUGCGAAGGGGGGACGGAGAAGGCUAUGUUAGCCGGGCGACGGUUGUCCCGGUUUAAGCAUGUAGGCUGGUUGUCCAGGCAAAUCCGGAUAAUCAAGGCUGAGGUGUGAUGACGAGGCACUACGGUGCUGAAGUAACAAAUGCCCUGCUUCCAGGAAAAGCCUCUAAGCAUCAGGUAACAUUAAAUCGUACCCCAAACCGACACAGGUGGUCAGGUAGAGAAUACCAAGGCGCUUGAGAGAACUCGGGUGAAGGAACUAGGCAAAAUGGUGCCGUAACUUCGGGAGAAGGCACGCUGGUGUGUAGGUGAAGUCCCUGCGGAUGGAGCUGAGACCAGUCGAAGAUACCAGCUGGCUGCAACUGUUUAUUAAAAACACAGCACUGUGCAAACACGAAAGUGGACGUAUACGGUGUGACGCCUGCCCGGUGCCGGAAGGUUAAUUGAUGGGGUUAUCCGUAAGGAGAAGCUCUUGAUCGAAGCCCCGGUAAACGGCGGCCGUAACUAUAACGGUCCUAAGGUAGCGAAAUUCCUUGUCGGGUAAGUUCCGACCUGCACGAAUGGCGUAAUGAUGGCCAGGCUGUCUCCACCCGAGACUCAGUGAAAUUGAACUCGCUGUGAAGAUGCAGUGUACCCGCGGCAAGACGGAAAGACCCCGUGAACCUUUACUAUAGCUUGACACUGAACAUUGAGCCUUGAUGUGUAGGAUAGGUGGGAGGCUUUGAAGCGUGGACGCCAGUCUGCGUGGAGCCAACCUUGAAAUACCACCCUUUAAUGUUUGAUGUUCUAACGUUGGCCCCUUACCGGGGUUGCGGACAGUGUCUGGUGGGUAGUUUGACUGGGGCGGUCUCCUCCCAAAGCGUAACGGAGGAGCACGAAGGUUAGCUAAUCCUGGUCGGACAUCAGGAGGUUAGUGCAAUGGCAUAAGCUAGCUUGACUGCGAGCGUGACGGCGCGAGCAGGUGCGAAAGCAGGUCAUAGUGAUCCGGUGGUUCUGAAUGGAAGGGCCAUCGCUCAACGGAUAAAAGGUACUCCGGGGAUAACAGGCUGAUACCGCCCAAGAGUUCAUAUCGACGGCGGUGUUUGGCACCUCGAUGUCGGCUCAUCACAUCCUGGGGCUGAAGUAGGUCCCAAGGGUAUGGCUGUUCGCCAUUUAAAGUGGUACGCGAGCUGGGUUUAGAACGUCGUGAGACAGUUCGGUCCCUAUCUGCCGUGGGCGCUGGAGAAUUGAGGGGGGCUGCUCCUAGUACGAGAGGACCGGAGUGGACGCAUCACUGGUGUUCGGGUUGUCAUGCCAAUGGCACUGCCCGGUAGCUAAAUGCGGAAGAGAUAAGUGCUGAAAGCAUCUAAGCACGAAACUUGCCCCGAGAUGAGUUCUCCCUGAGACUUUAAGUCUCCUGAAGGAACGUUGAAGACGACGACGUUGAUAGGCCGGGUGUGUAAGCGCAGCGAUGCGUUGAGCUAACCGGUACUAAUGAACCGUGAGGCUUAACCUUACAACGCCGAAG